UGGGACUUCUCUGCUGAAACUCACUU
rnacentral:piRNA from 1 species